rnacentral:rRNA from 1 species
CAGUCGCCGCGGGAAUACGUAGGUGGCAAGCGUUGUCCGGAAUUAUUGGGCGUAAAGCGCGCGCAGGCGGAUCGGUCAGUCUGUCUUAAAAGUUCGGGGCUUAACCCCGUGAUGGGAUGGAAACUGCCAAUCUAGUGUAUCGGAGAGGAAAGUGGAAUUCCUAGUGUAGCGGUGAAAUGCGUAGAUAUUAGGAAGAACACCAGUGGCGAAGGCGACUUUCUGGACGAAAACUGACGCUGAGGCGCGAAAGCCAGGGGAGCGAACGGGAUUAGAUACCCGAGUAGUCCCUGUCUCUUAUACA